UACGUAGGGACCAAGCGUUGUCCGGAAUCAUUGGGCGUAAAGAGCGUGUAGGCGGCUUGUUAAGUCUUGCGUGAAAUCUCGGGGCUCAACCCCGAGCGGUCGUGAGAAACUGGCAGGCUAGAGUGCGGGAGAGGAGAGUGGAAUUCCUGGUGUAGCGGUGAAAUGCGCAGAUAUCAAGAGGAACACCUGAGGUGAAGACGGGUUGCUGGGCCGACACUGACGCUGAGUGCGCGAAAGCCAGGGGAGCAAACGGG
rnacentral:rRNA from 1 species